UUAAUGGCCGCGGUAUUUUGACCGUGCGAAGGUAGCGUAAUCACUUGUCUUCUAAAUAAAGACCCGUAUGAAUGGCAAGACGAGGGCUUAACUGUCUCCUUUUUCAAGUCAAUGAAAUUGAUCUUCCCGUGCAGAAGCGGGAAUCUACCCAUAAGACGAGAAGACCCCGUGGAGCUUUAGACACCCAGAUAAAUCAUGUCAAAACCUCCUAACAAAGAACUGAACCAAAUGAAAUUUAUCUAAUAUGUCUUCGGUUGGGGCGACCACGGAGAAAAACAAAACCCCCGCGUGGACUGGGAGCACCCUCCUACAGAUAAGAGCCUCCACUCUAAUAAACAGAACUUCUGACCAAUAAUGAUCCGGCAAUGCCGAUCAACGAACCAAGUUACCCCAGGGAUAACAGCGCAAUCCUCUUUUAGAGCCCAUAUCGACAAGAGGGUUUACGACCUCGAUGUUGGAUCAGGACAUCCUAAU
rnacentral:rRNA from 1 species